UUUUAUUUUUUAUGUAAUCUACAGUGUAUUGGAACGUUUGUAGCGUCAGGAUUCAAUUUAAUUGUAGGACUAGGUUUAGCGUACACCGGCAUCCUUAUUCCUGCUAUUGAAAGUCCUAAUUCCGAUAUAAAAGUAACGACGACAGAAAGUUCCUUAAUCGCAAGUAUAACCACCCUAGUAAUAGCACUGACAAGUCUGACAUGUGGACCCGUAAUGGAUAGAAUUGGCCGAUUAAACUGCAUAAAAAUAUCCAUCAUACCCAUUACGGUGGGUUGGGUUUUAAUUGCCCUUGCUAAAAGCACCACCAUGCUAUUGAUAGGUCGAGUUUUUGUAGGAAUAAGUGGAGCUUUAGGAGUUAACUCCGUCCCUGUUUAUAUCUCAGAAAUUUCAAGGCCGGAUUUGAGAGGUUCCCUAACAUCAGUUUUAACCCUAUUGUCUACCAUUGGUAAGUUUUGACCCUAAGUUAAGAAAA